AAUGAACGCUGGCGGCGCGCCUAAUACAUGCAAGUCGAGCGAGAAGACGUAGCAAUACGUUUGUAAAGCGGCGAACGGGUGAGGAAUACAUGGGUAACCUACCCUCGAGUGGGGAAUAACUAGCCGAAAGGUUAGCUAAUACCGCGUACGCUCCUUGGACUUCGGUUCAGGGAGGAAAGCGAUACCGUGGGUAUCGCGCUCUUGGUUGGGCUCAUGUCCUAUCAGCUUGUUGGUGAGGAACGGCUCACCAAGGCUUCGACGGGUAGCUGGUCUGAGAGGACGAUCAGCCACACUGGCACUGCGACAC
rnacentral:rRNA from 1 species